GCUGGGCAUGGUGGUCACACCUGUAACCCCAGAUACUCGGGAGGCUGAGGCAGGAGGAUCACAAGUUGGAGGCCAGCCUUUGCAACCUCGUGAGAUCUUGUCUCAA
rnacentral:sRNA from 1 species